UCGGGACUAAUGCGCAAUGGAGGAAACUCUGACGCAGUGACGCCGCGUGCAGGAAGACGGUUUUCGGAUUGUAAACUGCUUUAGACAGGGAAGAAAAAAGACAGUACCUGUAGAAUAAGCUCCGGCUACCUACGUUCCAUCAGCCGCGGUAAUACGUAGGGAGCAAGCGUUAUCCGGAUUUAUUGGGUGUAAAGGGUGCGUAGACGGAGAAGCAAGUUAGUUGUGAAAUCCCUCGGCUUAACUGAGGAACUGCAACUAAAACUACUUCCCUUGAGUGCUGGAGAGGAAAGUGGAAUUCCUAGUGUAGCGGUGAAAUGCGUAGAUAUUAGGAGGAACACCAGUGGCGAAGGCGACUUUCUGGACAGUAACUGACGUUGAGGCACGAAAGUGUGGGGAGCAAACAGG
rnacentral:rRNA from 1 species